rfam:Anopheles funestus strain FTMOZ unplaced genomic scaffold supercont1.86, whole genome shotgun sequence.
CCUUCGAUAGCUCAGUUGGUAGAGCGGUGGACUGUAGAAAAUUUGGAAAGUCGAACAGCUGUUACCUUACUCUAGGUGCUGCACAUUUGACCAAGCUUUCCGAUCGAGUAGAAAUCCAUAGGUCACUGGUUCAAAUCCGGUUCGAAGGA